rnacentral:SRP_RNA from 1 species
GCCGGGCAUGGUGGUGCAUGCCUGUAGUCCCAGCUACUCGGGAGGCUGAGGCAGAAGAAUUGCUUGAACCCGGGAGGCGGAGGUUGUAGUGAGCCAAGAUCGUGCCACUGCACUCCAGCCUGGGUGACAGAGCAAGACUCUGUCUCAA